rnacentral:rRNA from 1 species
AUUGAACGCUGGCGGCAUGCUUUACACAUGCAAGUCGAACGGAAGCGCGGGCUUCGGCCUGGCGGCGAGUGGCGAACGGGUGAGUAAUACACCGGAACGUGCCCAGUAGUGGGGGAUAGCUCGACGAAAGCCGGAUUAAUACCGCAUACGACAUGAGGGUGAAAGCGGGGGAUCUUUGGACCUCGCGCGAUUUGAGGGGCCGGUGGCAGAUUAGCUAGUUGGUGGGGUAAAGGCCUACCAAGGCGACGAUCUGUAGCUGGUCUGAGAGGACGACCAGCCACACUGGAACUGAGACACGGCCCAGACUCCUACGGGAGGCAGCAGUGGGGAAUUUUGGGCAAUGGGCGAAAGCCUGAUGCAGCAAUGCCGCGUGUGUGAUGGAGGCCUUCGGGUUGUAAAGCUCUGUUGGCGGGGACGAAAAGGUGUGUGAGAAUCCCUGCGUUUGAUGACGGUACCCGCAGAAUAAGCACCGGCUAACUACGUG